rnacentral:rRNA from 1 species
GACGAACCGUGCGAACGUUGUUCGGAAUCACUGGGCUUAAAGGGCGCGUAGGCGGGUCUUCAAGUUUGGGGUGAAAUCCUCCGGCUCAACCGGAGAACUGCCUCGAAUACUGAAGGUCUCGAGGGGGGAUAGGGGCAUGCGGAACUACGGGUGGAGCGGUGAAAUGCGUUGAUAUCCGUAGGAACUCCGGUGGCGAAGGCGGCGUGCGUGGAUCCCUUCUCGACGCUGAG